AGUAGAGAAAACAUACCACAUUGCCACAUGCUUAUAUCAAUCACAGGAACAGCAAAAUUAAGGGUGCUUGUGUGACACACACAAAUAUGUGGUCACAGUUUUGUUUUAUUAGUAUUUUGAUAGGAGUAUAGGGAGAAAGCAUGUGAAGUUAGGGUGUAGUAUUGGUGUACUCCACCGGGUGGUAGUAGUGAGACGGAGUGUCCUGUUUGCUAGUCUGAAGUGUAGCGUGAAGAAGGACACAAGCAGUAACCAUCUCCGUCUCGUUCUUAUCUGUUUUACAGUAGGCAGACAGGAAAUGGGGUAAAGAGAGGGGGAAGACAUGCGGCACAGGGCGCCAUGGCCAGGAUUCCAACUAAGGGACAACCGCAUCGAAGGCCGAAGCCUCUCUAUACAUGGACCGUGUGCUCUACUACUGCGCCAGCAUCAUGCUCAAUGAUUAUUAUUUUUAGCUUAAAUUAAGAAAACAACCUCAUAAUGUCUAAUAACACUUUCAUUAAAGAACAACUGAAUAACAAAAUGUA